AAGUUAUAAUGAGUAAAAUCCUAUUUCAUUGCUGAAAUAGUGUGAAACAUGAUGAAAUGAGCUC